rnacentral:tmRNA from 1 species
GGGGGCGAAUCAGAUUCGACGUGGUGCUGAUCGUCCCGGUGUUGCGAGUCGAGGUCCCCGGUAGGCCUCGUAAAAAAACCGGGAAAACCAUAAGUGCGAACGACAACCAUCGUUUCGCGCUCGCUGCCUAGCCAAAACUAGCCAGUGAGCUGUUGGCCCGCCCUGGGCCCGUGGGGCGGAUGUCCAGCAUCAAAAACGGGCUCCACCCGCCGCGAGUGCCCUUGGCGCGGCGGGGACACUCAAGAGGGCUGGCCACCCGUAACCCCGCCGGCACGGCGACCGGGAGGCGAGAUACAGAGAGCCGGCUACGCUCGUAGACGCAUCGGGACAUGUUCCGCGGACGCCGGGGCAGUACCGGCCGCCUCCACUA